rnacentral:lncRNA from 1 species
UGAUCUCUUUUUUUCCUCAUGACUUUGGGAGGUGAGUGCUAUAAUGAAUUACCUUUAUUUUACAGGUGAGGAAACCAAGGCAGAGGUUGUGACUUCCCCAGUAAAUGCUGGAAUUUCUAGAGCACAAAGUUUUAUUUUGACCUUGGCAGAAGGAAAGGGAAGGAAGAAAGAAGAAUAUGAUGUGCCUGCUUCAGCUACCUUCUUGGCUGUUGGGACAAAUUGUUCUCAUCCAUCUGUUCAUCUGGACAAGGUCUUCAAAUACUUGAGGUAGUUAUGCUCACCAGUUCAUUGAUUGGUUUGCAGACUGUCAGUUACCCACAACCUGGCUUAGCCCAUCUGCCAACAUGGAUUUACUAGGAUGUGACUGCUGUGCAUGCUGCAUCUUCUUGGAGUCACCGGUGAGAGUUGGGUGAAAGGCAAACACUAAAAGGUGGCUGAGCAGCUCUGCAAGGGGGACUAGUCCUUCAAGAACACCUCAUAUUUCUCAGCAACAAGAUAUCCAGAGCUUGGUGCAUUGUAAACAGUUAAUAAAUGCUUAUUGAUUAACUGAUGGAUGUGUCA